ACGGGUGAGUAACGCGUGGGAAUCUACCCAUCUCUACGGAAUAACGCAUGGAAACGUGUGCUAAUACCGUAUACGUCCUUCGGGAGAAAGAUUUAUCGGAGAUGGAUGAGCCCGCGUUGGUUUAUCUAGUUGGUGGGGUAAAGGCCUACCAAGGCGACUAUCCAUAGCUGGUCUGAGAGGAUGAUCAGCCACACUGGGACUGAGACACGGCCCAGACUCCUACGGGAGGCACCAGUGGGGAAUAUUGGACAAUGGGCGCAAGCCUGAUCCAACCAUGCCGCGUGAGUGAUGAAGGCCCUAGGGUUGUGAAGCUCUUUCACCGGUGAAUAUUAUGACAGUAACCGGAGAAGAAGCCCCGGCUAACUUCGUGCCAGCAACCGCGGUAAUACCAAGGGGGCUAGCGUUGUUCGGAUUUACUGGGCGUAAAGCGCACGUACGCGGACUAUUAGUUCAGGGGUGAAAUCCCGGGGCUCAACCCCGGAACUGCCUUUGAUACUGGUAGUCCUGAGUUCGAGAGAGGUGAGUGGAAUUCCGAGUGUAGAGGUGAAAUUCGUAGA
rnacentral:rRNA from 1 species